AUUUGACCGAAGUACAUGAUUCCAUGCUUCCAAGAAAAGCAUCUAGAGAGAGAAGUAGUGCCCGUACCGCAAACCGACACAGGUAGAUGAGGAGAGAAUCCUAAGGCCGGCGGAAGAAUUGCAGUUAAGGAACUAGGCAAAUUGACCCCGUAAGUUCGCGAGAAGGGGUGCCUGCGAGAGCAGGCCGCAGAGAAUAGGCCCAAGCAACUGUUUAGCAAAAACACAGGUCUCUGCUAAAGCGCAAGCUGAUGUAUAGGGGCUGACGCCUGCCCGGUGCUGGAAGGUUAAGGGGAACACUUAGCGCAAGCGAAGGUGUGAACUUAAGCCCCAGUAAACGGCGGCCGUAACUAUAACGGUCCUAAGGUAGCGAAAUUCCUUGUCAGGUAAGUUCUGACCCGCACGAAUGGCGUAAUGACUUGGGCACUGUCUCAACUGCAAAUCCGGCGAAGUUGUAGUGCGAGUGAAGAUGCUCGCUACCCGCGAUUGGACGGAAAGACCCCGUAGAGCUUUACUGCAGCUUAGCAUUGAAUCUCGGUAUUGUCUGUACAGGAUAGGUGGGAGACUGGGAAACUAGGGCGUCAGCCUUAGUGGAGUCACCCUUGGGAUACCACCCUGACAGUACUGGGGUUCUAACAGGACGCCAUGAAUCUGGUGACUGGACAUUGUUAGGUGGGCAGUUUGACUGGGGCGGUCGCCUCCUAAAAAGUAACGGAGGCGCCCAAAGGUUCCCUCAGAACGGUCGGAAAUCGUUCGAAGAGUGCAAAGGCAGAAGGGAGCCUGACUGCGAGACCUACAAGUCGAGCAGGGACGAAAGUCGGGCUUAGUGAUCCGGUGGUACCUCGUGGGAGGGCCAUCGCUCAACGGAUAAAAGCUACCUCGGGGAUAACAGGCUGAUCUCCCCCAAGAGUCCACAUCGACGGGGAGGUUUGGCACCUCGAUGUCGGCUCGUCGCAUCCUGGGGCUGUAGUAGGUCCCAAGGGUUGGGCUGUUCGCCCAUUAAAGCGGCACGCGAGCUGGGUUCAGAACGUCGUGAGACAGUUCGGUCCCUAUCCGUCGCGGGCGUAGGAAAUUUGAGAGGAGCUGUCCUUAGUACGAGAGGACCGGGAUGGACUGACCUCUGGUGUACCAGUUGUUCUGCCAAGAGCAUAGCUGGGUAGCUAAGUCGGGAAGGGAUAAACGCUGAAAGCAUCUAAGCGUGAAGCCUACCUCAAGAUGAGAUUUCCCAUAGCAUAAGCUAGUAAGACCCCUUGAAGAACACAAGGUUGAUAGGUCAGAGGUGUAAGU
rnacentral:rRNA from 1 species